UAUACAGACGUAAGAGUGCGGUGCAAACCACUUAAAAUUUUCGGUACCAUGUUUUCUUCUUCUUGUUGGGCAGAUUUUUUCCGAGGGGGCUAGUUAUUACCAUUUUGCGGUUGUUUUAUACGCAUUGGUGUACCCCUUUCACAAGAUUUUGACAGUUUUUCGCCGCCUUCGCCGGCUUUCGCCCGUGCUUUCGUCGCACCAAAAAUAUUCUCGUUUUGUUUACUUUUCGAUGGUGCGCGGUCAAAUUGGACAUACCGGUUGUGAACAUUCCGGGAAAUUCCGUUCCUAGCCGGUGGUAUCACAAAGAAGCUAUUUCCGGGCUAUGGAAAAAGUGUACCCCGGCUGAAGGCGCUCUAAAAAACUAAUGAAAAAAGAUAACGAGUGCGACUGCAAAGCGAUCGAACCGAGCCGUGCUCUGCUGGCGGAGUGCAAUCAGUAACUGAUUGUGUCACAGGAGGACAUCCGGCAUGGAGAGCUCGUGGUCGACAAAGAGAACUGGAAGCACGAAGUGCUCAGAAGGACGGGGACUACGGUGGAUUCCGAGCUGACAAUCGAUGCUUCAACAGGUUAGCGUUGCACAGUCGAGUUUUUGGAAUCAAGGACAUCAAAGCAGCUAGGAGCUAACCUUCUACUAUAAUUUCGGAAGCAAAGGUAACAAAAAGAGGAUCUGCCACUGUAAUGUGAGCAAAUAAUCCGGCUUUAUCGGGAAUUAUUACCUUCCUCCGCUGGAAGAUUCUUCAGUCACAUGUCGGGGCAAAAAACCAAAGGAUCGAAGCGUAAAAAAUCGCAGAAAAUCGUCUGUGGCAGCGGAAAACUGCCAUUGAAAGGGCUUCGAAGGCUGACACUACAAGAUAGUAAAAUCAGAUGGCGAAAAUCGGUGGUGGUGGAACCAGUGAAAGGUGAUGGCGUGAUGGGAUCACCGUUUAAGCUCAAACCACCAGUAACAACGAAUGUGAUCUACGAGAGUGUGACUAUUGAGGUGAGCUUGGCUGCUACGGAGAAUACCCUAAAGGUGGACGAUUAUUCCGGGUUGAAAGAAAAACAUAAGCCCUGUUCAACGACGUAGGUUGAACUUGCUCGAAGUUGCUGCAUCCUACUCUUACCCAUUUGUCAACAAACGGGAAAGAGCGGGAUGGAGCAAGUUCGAGUAAAUUCAACCUACGUCGUCGAAUAGGACUAUAGUCGCCGAACAAGAGUGGUAGCAAGCGGACAUGAAAGUUGUCCAUCGUUUCGAGUGGGAUUCAUCUCGUAUGGGAUAG